rnacentral:rRNA from 1 species
UACAGAGGUCUCAAGCGUUGUUCGGAAUUACUGGGCGUAAAGGGCUCGUAGGCGGCCAACUAAGUCGGACGUGAAAUCCCUCGGCUUAACCUGGGAACUGCGUCUGAUACUGGACGGCUUGAGUAUGGGAGAGGAACGUAGAAUUCCAGGUGUAGCGGUGAAAUGCGUAGAUAUCUGGAGGAAUACCGGUGGCGAAGGCGGCGUUCUGGACCAUUACUGACACUGAAUCGCGAAAGCUAGGGAGCAAACGGG